GAACGCUAGCUACAGGCUUAACACAUGCAAGUCGAGGGGCAGCAUGGUCUUAGCUUGCUAAGGCCGAUGGCGACCGGCGCACGGGUGAGUAACACGUAUCCAACCUGCCGUCUACUCUUGGACAGCCUUCUGAAAGGAAGAUUAAUACAAGAUGGCAUCAUGAGUCCGCAUGUUCACAUGAUUAAAGGUAUUCCGGUAGACGAUGGGGAUGCGUUCCAUUAGAUAGUAGGCGGGGUAACGGCCCACCUAGUCUUCCAUGGAUAGGGGUUCUGAGAGGAAGGUCCCCCACAUUGGAACUGAUACACGGUCCAAACUCCUACGGGAGGCAGCGGUGAGGAAUAUUGGUCAAUGGGCGAGAGCCUGAACCAGCCAAGUAGCGUGAAGGAUGACUGCCCUAUGGGUUGUAAACUUCUUUUAUAAAGGAAUAAAGUCGGAUAUGCAUACCCGUUUGCAUGUACUUUAUGAAUAAGGAUCGGCUAACUCCGUGCCAGCAGCCGCGGUAAUACGGAGGAUCCGAGCGUUAUCCGGAUUUAUUGGGUUUAAAGGGAGCGUAGAUGGAUGUUUAAGUCAGUUGUGAAAGUUUGCGGCUCAACCGUAAAAUUGCAGUUGAUACUGGAUAUCUUGAGUGCAGUUGAGGCAGGCGGAAUUCGUGGUGUAGCGGAGAAAUGCUUAGAUAUCACGAAGAACUCCGAUUGCGAAGGCAGCCUGCUAAGCUGCAACUGACAUUGAGGCUCGAAAGUGUGGGUAUCAAACAGGAUUAGAUACCCUGGUAGUCCACACGGUAAACGAUGAAUACUCGCUGUUUGCGAUAUACGGCAAGCGGCCAAGCGAAAGCGUUAAGUAUUCCACCUGGGGAGUACGCCGGCAACGGUGAAACUCAAAGGAAUUGACGGGGGCCCGCACAAGCGGAGGAACAUGUGGUUUAAUUCGAUGAUACGCGAGGAACCUUACCCGGGCUUAAAUUGCAGAUGAAUUACGGUGAAAGCCGUAAGCCGCAAGGCAUCUGUGAAGGUGCUGCAUGGUUGUCGUCAGCUCGUGCCGUGAGGUGUCGGCUUAAGUGCCAUAACGAGCGCAACCCUUGUUGUCAGUUACUAACAGGUCCCGCUGAGGACUCUGACAAGACUGCCAUCGUAAGAUGUGAGGAAGGUGGGGAUGACGUCAAAUCAGCACGGCCCUUACGUCCGGGGCUACACACGUGUUACAAUGGGGGGUACAGAGGGCCGCUACCACGCGAGUGGAUGCCAAUCCCCAAAACCUCUCUCAGUUCGGACUGGAGUCUGCAACCCGACUCCACGAAGCUGGAUUCGCUAGUAAUCGCGCAUCAGCCACGGCGCGGUGAAUACGUUCCCGGGCCUUGUACACACCGCCCGUCAAGCCAUGGGAGCCGGGGGUACCUGAAGUGCGUAACCGCGAGGAGCGCCCUAGGGUAAAACUGGUGACUGGGG
rnacentral:rRNA from 1 species